rnacentral:tRNA from 1 species
GCCUGGCUAGCUCAGUCGGUAGAGCAUGUGACUCUUGAUCUCAGGGUAGUGAAUUUAAGCCCCACAUUGGGCG